UAGGGAAUCUUCGGCAAUGGGGGGAACCCUGACCGAGCAACGCCGCGUGAGUGAAGAAGGUUUUCGGAUCGUAAAGCUCUGUUGUUAAGGAAGAACGAGUGUGAGAAUGGAAAGUUCAUGCUGUGACGGUACUUAACCAGAAAGGGACGGCUAACUACGUGCCAGCAGCCGCGGUAAUACGUAGGUCCCGAGCGUUGUCCGGAUUUAUUGGGCGUAAAGCGAGCGCAGGCGGUUAGAUAAGACUGAAGUUAAAGGCAGUGGCUCAACCAUUGUAGGCUUUGGAAACUGUUUAACUUGAGUGCAGAGGGGGAGAGUGGAAUUCCAUGUGUGGCGGUGAAAUGCGUAGAUAUAUGGAAGAACACCGGAGGCGAAAGCGGCUCUCGGGUCUGUAACUGACGCAGAGGCUCGAAAGCGUGGGGAGCGAACAGG
rnacentral:rRNA from 1 species